CACGUAGGGCGCGAGCGUUGUCCGGAAUUAUUGGGCGUAAAGAGCUCGUAGGCGGCCUGUUGCGUCCGCUGUGAAAGCCCGGGGCUUAACCCCGGGUCGGCAGUGGAUACGGGCAAACUGGAGUACUGCAGGGGAGACUGGAAUUCCUGGUGUAGCGGUGAAAUGCGCAGAUAUCAGGAGGAACACCGGUGGCGAAGGCGGGUCUCUGGACAUUUCCUGACGCUGAGGCACGAAAGCCAGGGGAGCAAACGGG
rnacentral:rRNA from 1 species